CCUACGGGAGGCAGCAGUGAGGAAUAUUGGUCAAUGGACGAGAGUCUGAACCAGCCAAAUAGCGUGAAGGAUGACUGCCCUAUGGGUUGUAAACUUCUUUUAUAUGGGAAUAAAAUGUUCCACGUGUGGGAUUUUGUAUGUACCAUAUGAAUAAGGAUCGGCUAACUCCGUGACAGCAGGCGCGGUAAUACGGAGGAUCCGAGCGUUAUCCGGAUUUAUUGGGUUUAAUGGGAGUGUUUGGGGAUUUUUUAGUCAGGUGUUAAAGUUUGUGGCUCAACCGUAAAAUUGCAGUUGAAACUGGCAGUCUUGAGUACAGUAGAGGUGGGCGGAAUUCGUGGUGUAGCGGUGAAAUGCUUAGAUAUCACGAAGAACUCCGAUUGCGAAGGCAGUUCACUGGACUGAAACUGACACUGAGGCUCGAAAGUGUGGGUAGCAAACAGGAUUAGAUACCCGUGUAGUC
rnacentral:rRNA from 1 species